rnacentral:rRNA from 1 species
GGGCAUGCGGUACAUUAGCUAGUUGGUGAGGUAAUGGCUCACCAAGGCUACGAUGUAUAGGGGGUCUGAGAGGAUGAUCCCCCACACUGGUACUGAGACACGGACCAGACUCCUACGGGAGGCAGCAGUAGGGAAUAUUGGUCAAUGGACGCAAGUCUGAACCAGCCAUGCCGCGUGAAGGAUGAAGGCCCUCUGGGUCGUAAACUUCUUUUAUUAGGGAAGAAAACAUGGGAUGCGUCCCAAACUGACGGUACUUAAUGAAUAAGGAUCGGCUAACUUCGUGCCAGCAGCCGCGGUAAGACGAAGGAUCCAAGCGUUGUCCGGAUUUACUGGGUUUAAAGGGUGCGUAGGCGGAAAAUUAAGUCAGUGGUGAAAGCCCGCAGCUCAACUGUGGAACUGCCAUUGAAACUGAUUUUCUUGAAUAUAGCUGAGGCAGAUGGAAUAUAACAUGUAGCGGUGAAAUGCUUAGAUAUGUUAUAGAACACCGAUUGCGAAGGCAGUCUGCUAAACUAUUAUUGACGCUGAGGCACGAAAGCGUGGGGAGCGAACAGGAUUAGAUACCCUGGUAGUCCACGCCCUAAACGUUGAUUACUCGCUGUUGGCGAUAUACUCUCAGUGGCUAAGCGAAAGCGUUAAGCAAUCCACCUGGG